rnacentral:rRNA from 1 species
GGGGGGAGCAAGCGUUGUUCGGAUUCAUUGGGCGUAAAGAGCUCGUAGGCGGCUCCGUAAGUCGAGGGUGAAAUACAACGGCUCAACCGUUGGAACGCCCUCGAAACUACGGAGCUUGAGGUCGGGAGAGGAAAGCGGAAUUCCUGGAGUAGCGGUGAAAUGCGUAGAUAUCAGGAGGAACACCAGUGGCGAAGGCGGCUUUCUGGACCGAAUCUGACGCUGAGGAGCGAAAGCUAGGGGAGCAAACAGGAUUAGAUACCCUGGUAGUCCUAGCCGUAAACGAUGGGCACUAGGUGUGGGGGAUCGACCCCCUUCCCGUGCCGCAGUUAACGCAUUAAGUGCCCCGCCUGGGGAGUACGAUCGCAAGGUUG